GAUCAUGGCUCAGGACGAACGCUGGCGGCGUGCCUAACACAUGCAAGUCGAACGGAAGCAACGAUUUCGGUUUUUGCUUCAGUGGCGAACGGGUGAGUAACGCGUGAGGAACCUGCCUUUCAGUGGGGGACAACAGUUGGAAACGACUGCUAAUACCGCAUAAUGCUUUUUGAUGGCAUCAUUGAAAAGCCAAAGAUUUAUUGCUGAAAGAUGGCCUCGCGUCUGAUUAGCUAGUUGGG
rnacentral:rRNA from 1 species